AACGUACGCUGGCGGCACGCCUAACACAUGCAAGUCGAACGAAGUAGCAAUACUUAGUGGCAGACGGGUGAGUAACAUGUGGGUAUCUGCCCUUUGGCCUGGAAUAACACGAGGAAACUUGUGCUAAUACCGGAUAAGUCUUUACGGAGAAAGCUUUAUGCACCAUUGGAUGAGCCCGCACUUGAUUAGUUUGUUGGUGGGGUAAUGGCCUACCAAGACUGUGAUCAAUAGCUGAUUUGAGAGGAUGAUCAGCCACAUUGGGACUGAGACACGGCCCAAACUCCUACGGGAGGCAGCAGUGGGGAAUCUUGCACAAUGGAGGAAACUCUGAUGCAGCGAUGCCGCGUGAGUGAAGAAGGCCUUUGGGUUGUAAAGCUCUUUCGUCGGGGAAGAAAAUGACUGUACCCGAAUAAGAAGGUCCGGCUAACUUCGUGCCAGCAGCCGCGGUAAUACGAAGGGACCUAGCGUAGUUCGGAAUUACUGGGCUUAAAGAGUUCGUAGGUGGUUGAAAAAGUUGGUGGUGAAAUCCCAGAGCUUAACUCUGGAACUGCCAUCAAAACUUUUCAGCUAGAGUUUGAUAGAGGAAAGCAGAAUUUCUAGUGUAGAGGUGAAAUUCGUAGAUAUUAGAAAGAAUACCAAUUGCGAAGGCAGCUUUCUGGAUCAUUACUGACACUGAGGAACGAAAGCAUGGGUAGCGAAGAGGAUUAGAUACCCUCGUAGUCCAUGCCGUAAACGAUGUGUGUUAGACGUUGGAAAUUUAUUUUCAGUGUCGCAGCGAAAGCGAUAAACACACCGCCUGGGGAGUACGACCGCAAGGUUAAAACUCAAAUGAAUUGACGGGGACCCGCACAAGUAGUGGAGCAUGUGGUUUAAUUCGAAGAUACGCGCAGAACCUUACCAACACUUGACAUGUUCGUCGCGACUUUAAGAGAUUAAAGUUUUCGGUUCGGCCGGACGAAACACAGGUGCUGCAUGGCUGUCGUCAGCUCGUGUCGUGAGAUGUUGGGUUAAGUCCCGCAACGAGCGCAACCCUCACUUUUAGUUGCCAUCAUUUAGUUGGGCACUCUGAAAGAACUGCCAGUGAUAAGCUGGAGGAAGGUGGGGAUGACGUCAAGUCCUCAUGGCCCUUACGUGUUGGGCUACACACGUGCUACAAUGGUAUCUACAACAGGAAGCAAAACAGCGAUGUUAAGCAAAUCCUUAAAAGAUACCUCAGUUCGGAUUGCACUCUGCAACUCGAGUGCAUGAAGCUGGAAUUACUAGUAAUCGUGGAUCAGCGUGCCACGGUGAAUGCGUUCCCGGGUCU
rnacentral:rRNA from 1 species